rnacentral:rRNA from 1 species
AGUGAACGCUGGCGGUAGGCCUAACACAUGCAAGUCGAACGGCAGCACAGGAGAGCUUGCUCUCUGGGUGGCGAGUGGCGGACGGGUGAGGAAUACAUCGGAAUCUACCUUUUCGUGGGGGAUAACGUAGGGAAACUUACGCUAAUACCGCAUAAGACCUUCGGUGAAGGCCGGGACCUUCGGGCCUGGCGCGGAUAGAU